rnacentral:rRNA from 1 species
CACGUAGGGGCCAAGCGUUGUCCGGAUUUAUUGGGCGUAAAGAGCUCGUAGGCGGCUCGGUAAGUCGGGUGUGAAACCUCCAGGCUCAACCUGGAGACGCCACCCGAUACUGCUGUGGCUAGAGUCCGGUAGGGGAGCGUGGAAUUCCUGGUGUAGCGGUGAAAUGCGCAGAUAUCAGGAGGAACACCGGUGGCGAAGGCGGUUCUCUGGGCAUGUCCUGACGCUGAGGAGCGAAAGUGUGGGGAGCGAACAGG